CAUACAUAAGGGAACAAAGAAAAAAUAAAUUAGAUCAACAAAACAAUUUGGAAUCUCAAGUAUCAAAUUAAAAGUUUAAUCACAUCAAAAUUCUUUUCCAAUACUUAUCGGAGGUUCUGUUUGUACAGUAAUAAACACGAAUCAUGAACUUUAUUAACAUGAGUGAUAAAUUUAAAGAUGGAAUGUGUUAAAUGAAGAAAAGUAAUGCAACAAUGCAUUUCCAGGCGUAACAAAUAUGCACUUUGAAACUGUUGACAGGUAAAUUUAAGUUUACUUUAUAUAUCAUUUCUGAAAAACAAUCUUGCUUUGAUUACUUUUAUCUUAUAUUAUCAUUUAAUAUAAAUUUAAGAUAAAUACUCUUUCAAAUAGAGUAUAAGUAGUUUUUAAUACAAAUGUACUUUCUGAUAUCACAUAAACUCGCGGCAUGCGAAGGCAGUGCUAAUAGAAAAAUGCAAUUGAGAAUUAAAUAAGUGAUAUUAUAACUGUUUUUACGGCGUAUAUAAUUAAAGGAUAAUAAAUACAUAACUUUCCUAACAUCAAUUUCUUUGAAACAGAAAAAAAGUUUUUUAAUAUUAAAAGUUUUAAAAAUAAAAUAAAAAAAUUUUGUUAACUUUUUUAUAUUGCAUAUGUGUGAUUUGUAACAUUAAAUCUCUGAUCGAUGUCGUAAAAGACGAAACCUCACAAUUACAAACAAAUCUAGCAAAAUUCCAUAAUGUAAUGAGUAUACAAAGACUGCGUUAAAUUAAUUUAAACAAAUUAACAAUUUUAACUUAAAAUAACAUACAUUGCAUAUUUCUAUCUAUUAGCAAAUAAUACAGCGAAAGAAAUUAUGUUUUUGUUAAAACUUUGAA